rnacentral:rRNA from 1 species
AGUGAACGCUGGCGGUAGGCCUAACACAUGCAAGUCGAACGGCAGCACAGUAAGAGCUUGCUCUUACGGGUGGCGAGUGGCGGACGGGUGAGGAAUACAUCGGAAUCUACUUUUUCGUGGGGGAUAACGUAGGGAAACUUACGCUAAUACCGCAUACGACCUACGGGUGAAAGCAGGAGAUCUUCGGACCUUGCGCGAUUGAAUGAGCCGAUGCCGGAUUAGCUAGUUGGCGGGGUAAAGGCCCACCAAGGCGACGAUCCGUAGCUGGUCUGAGAGGAUGAUCAGCCACACUGGAACUGAGACACGGUCCAGACUCCUACGGGAGGCAGCAGUGGGGAAUAUUGGACAAUGGGCGCAAGCCUGAUCCAGCCAUACCGCGUGGGUGAAGAAGGCCUUCGGGUUGUAAACCCCUUUUGUUGGGAAAGAAAAGCAGCAGGUUAAUACCCCGCUGUUCUGACGGUACCCAAAGAAUAAGCACCGGCUAACUUCGUG